rnacentral:rRNA from 1 species
ACUAGCAGUAAGAGUUUGAUCAUGGCUCAGACGAACGCUGGCGGCAGGCUUAACACAUGCAAGUCGAACGCCCCGCAAGGGGAGUGGCAGACGGGUGAGUAACGCGUGGGAAUCUACCCAGUUCUACGGAACAACUGAGGGAAACUUCAGCUAAUACCGUAUAAGCCCUACGGGGGAAAGAUUUAUCGGGAUUGGAUGAGCCCGCGUUGGAUUAGCUAGUUGGUGGGGUAAUGGCCUACCAAGGCGACGAUCCAUAGCUGGUCUGAGAGGAUGAUCAGCCACACUGGGACUGAGACACGGCCCAGACUCCUACGGGAGGCAGCAGUGGGGAAUAUUGGACAAUGGGCGAAAGCCUGAUCCAGCCAUGCCGCGUGAGUGAUGAAGGCCUUAGGGUUGUAAAGCUCUUCAGUGGGGAAGAUAAUGACGGUACCCACAGAAGAAGCCCCGGCUAACUUCGUGCCAGCCGCCGCGGUAAUUC